rnacentral:rRNA from 1 species
CCGGCGCACGGGUGAGUAACACGUAUGCAAUCCACCUGUAACAGGGGGAUAACCCGGAGAAAUCCGGACUAAUACCCCAUAAUAUGGGCGCUCCGCAUGGAGAGCCCAUUAAAGAGAGCAAUUUUGGUUACAGACGAGCAUGCGCUCCAUUAGCCAGUUGGCGGGGUAACGGCCCACCUAGUCUUCGAUGGAUAGGGGUUCUGAAAGGAAGGUCCCCCACAUUGGAACUGAGACACGGUCCAA